ensembl:lncRNA
CUCAGAUCACAAGCCCGUCCUUGGCAGGAGUGCCGUGUGAACCUACACGGCCUGGCUUGAAGAAAAGAAACAAUGUCAGUCAUCUCUAGGAUGUGCGGGGACUCCUACGUGGUUUCUUCUUUGCACUUUUCUAUAUUUUCCAACUUUUUCCCAAAGAGCAUGUUACUUUUGUAAUCAGUGCCUCUCCGCUCCCACUCCACAUCACCCAAAUAGGAAUUUUUAAAGUAACAAAACAAGACAGAAAUGCCCCAGAGAGGUACUCCUCCUGCAGCCCUGGAACUCGGUCCUACACAGGGGUGGCUGUUGGAGGGUGAGGUCAUCGAACGUCACCAUCACCCGCCACGGGCCAAGCUUGCUUUGUUAUACGCCUGAGAGCAUCUGCAGUGGCAGCCACACACCCGGGGCCUGGGAGAACUCUCAGUCACUGGUGCCCAAGGCCGUCACAGCCUCGUCUCCUCCUUUGUACACGUCCCGGAGAGUGUCUAAGCGGCAAGAGGAGGAAGACAGGAGCAGCGACCUCACGCUCUGUGUGUGCCUGCACAUUAUGUCCUCAAGCCCCUGUGCAGCAGUGUGAGGACCAUCCUGCUGUGUGACAGCUGAGGAAGCAGCAGCUCAGACAGGUGAAGCCACCGGCCAUGCUCACAGCCUGGCAGAGGCAUGGGCAGGAUUGGCAUCCAGGCCUGCCUGAGGCCUCAGCCUCCACUCUCUCUUUACUUUUCCUUUUUUUUUAUAAUAGUUAAUUUUAUUUAUUCAAGGGCUCAUAUUGCAAGCAAUAAACCAAGCAUGGACUUUGAUUCUGCGAGCCCCCAUUCACAUAUCCAGGAAGAUAAAAGCAACGUACAUGAAUGAAAACUCAGGGUUCGUGGUUAACCACGCUGGAGUUGUUGAAUUUCUACAGCCUAGAACCCAGAAGUCACAGGUGUUGUAGGUCCUUCUGGAUGUCCCACUGGGCAUCUGCACUUUUCUUGAGCUGAGCGACCUCAUCAGCCUUCAGCUUCUGGUUGAUAAUGUUGGUUAAUCCCCCAGCAUUCAGGAUGCGUGCAGGGCUCAGGAAGACUUCGUUCUCAAUGCCCCACGUCCCCUUCACCAUCGCUGACGCUGGGUGAAUCCUGGAUAGAGUUUAAACGCGGAUUCAAUGAGAUCAAUCCCGCUUCACCCCAUAGCCCAGUUGGUAUAUCCUUUUAGCUUGAUGACUUCACAGGCACUUUCAACCACCAUCUUGUGCACUUCUCUCCAAUUUUCACUAUCAUCGUCCAUUCUCAUCUCUGGAUUCAGAGUCUGGAAAGAAACGCCUGCCACAUUCACUCCACUCCACGCAGCCACACUUGAGUCGCCAUGUUCUCGCCAAAUCCAUCCAUGGCAGCUGCUGGGAUGAAUGCCAAGUUUUUCAGCUCUAGGAUAGUGAAAUCUAUCAGGUUCCAGAUUACACCGGCUUCCUAUCGCAUGGUGCUUGGGUAAUCCACUUUUACUUUCCAGAUAACAUGUGUGAGAAUACCCACUGGGUUGGAAACCGUAAUUAUGAUGCAUUUAGGACUAUACUCAGUGAUCGGGAGAGUAAUAAACUUGAAGCCAUUCACAUUCCGCUGCGGCAGAUUGAGAUGACUGUCCCUCUUGCUGAGGGACUCCUGCAGUUACCAUCACAAUCUUAGAGUUGGCCGUCACAGAAUAAUCUUUAUCUGCCGUAAUUUUAGGUGUCUGAAGAAAUAAGCUGCUGUGCUACAGAUCCAUCAUUUCUCCCUUAUCCACAAGAGCAAGGUCAUCAGCCAGAGACUUUCCCAGAGUGCUCCUGGCACACGCCAUACCAUACCAACUUGUCCAAUACCCACUACCGUGAUCCUAUUGUUUGGGACUGUUUCUGCAACCAAGGCAAUCAGUUUUUCCUCAAGAGUUGCCAUUGUUCACAGGCGAGAGAAGGCUCUGGGGAUGGUUGUAAGAGUUGUGUGAAGAAGACAAUGUCAGCUGCAUGCCCAGCCUCCACGCUUUCUGCUCAUCCUGUUCACACAUCAUGUCUGUAGGGGCAGCUGGGUCUUCCCUGGAUGUGUGAUCUCCAUAGGUUGUGCCCCAGAGCAUAGCACGAGAGCCAUUGCCACACACCUAUUCCACACGUCAAAGAACACACAUACAGCACGUGCAUCCCAGAGGCACUGAGCCAGCACUCACACUGGGGCUCACAAUCCUUUUUUUAUUUUGGUUCUUCCUGGUCCCUCCCCAAGGCUGAGACCAUGGUUCUCCAUCUGUGUGGGAUAGGAAUAAAAAUUAAAAUAACAACUACUGCUUAUUACUAUGAGACAGGAACUUUACUCACAUGCCCUUAUUUACUCCUUAAAACCUUAUAAGGACGUGAUAUUGUUUUCCUCACUUACAGAUUAGGAAAUUGAGAGUCAAGAGUAAUUGAAUGACUUGUCCUCAGUCACAGAAAACAGGUUCUUUUCGUGACACCGGUUGCACGCCUCCCCUCCCCACAGUUCUGUUACUCACAAGCGGAGGUGGGUUUACUGAGAAUCUCUUGAAGCUUCUGCUCUGGGCGCCUCGCUCACACCUGCCCCUUCCAAGGCCCCAGACGUCUAUACACAUGACCACGUAUUUUUGUGAAAUUUGCAAAAAUAAGAUUUUUUAUAUUCUUUCUCUAAAGGAGACGCCCCUCAGAUUCCACAGAACCUGGAUCCACCCUGUACCUCGAAUAUCCUGUCUAAACAUUGACCUCUGCUGCCCUGUCUGCUGUCCCUGCCUCGUUUGUUCUCAGCACUUUCACUAACAGGCCAUGUACUUUAUGUAUUCAUCCUACCUGUGACACAUCAGAGGCACUGCUCACUAUGUGGCUUUUGGCGAAUGAACGCAGCCACUGUCCUUCUGCUUAAAGCAGCCCUGUGUAGUGGAUUGUGCCCAUAUUAUAGACAAAGAUAUAAAGAUGUAAAAGGUGGCUUGCUCAAAGGCACCCACUAACGAAUCCAAUCCCCUUCCUCCUUCUCUGAGCUGCCUCUGAACUUGGCCACGGCUGGGUUUCCUCUGGCCAUGACAUUGUAAUUUACUCAUAGACCAGACACCGUCUCACUGGUGUUUCAUCCUUGACUCCUCUCUCUCAACAAGUUCCCCUUACCCUCCAAAUCCUGUCAACCACCUCCCAAAUAUCUCUCAGAUGUAAUCACUUCUCAGGGUUUCCAUCAGCUUCCUGGUGGUCUCCCUGCCCCCAGUCUGUUCCCCUACAGCUUCCAGCAGCUAACCUGAUUGGGUCCUUCUCCUGCUGGAAGGAUCCCAUGGAUUCUCAUUUCUUAGAGAUCAUAUUUGAAAUCUUUAGCCUGACCCACAAGGCCCACAUUGGCUACUUUUUUCGGUUUCUCAAACUCACUGUCUCCUUCCUGACUUGGAGCAUUUGCACAUGCUCUACCCACUUCCGGUGCCAGAAUGUUCUUCUCCUCCUCCCUCCCUCCCAUCCUACUUAACUUCUUUUUUUCCCUGCUUUUUCUCCCUAAAUCUCCCCAGUACAUAGGUGUAUAUUUUAGUUGUGGGUCCUUCUGGUUGUGGCAUGUGAGAUGCUGCCUCAACAUGGCCUUGCUCGCUGCUGUAUCUCUGUUUUGUUUGUUUGGCUUAGGGAAUAAAGACAUUGACUCCUCUC